ensembl:lncRNA
AGAGAAACUAAAUGAUUACUGAGGAACCAGCCAGGAUUCUGAUGGAAUCAAUGAAGAAAUAGGCAUCUGUAAGUUUUAUCUUUACUUGGUGAAAAGAACCUGAAAUUCAACUCCAGAAGGAGAGGUAAACAAUCCAGAACCCAGUAACAUUUAGCUGGAGGAUGUGCAUGAGGAUAUGUUAUAUGCAGUUGUCACCAACCAAUACCACAGCCUCAGAACUAUUCAAGUCUUUGAAUGAUGACAUAUCAGGAAAACUAAAUUGGUCAUUUUGUAACAAUAUGUUCCUGGAUGGAGCAGCCACCAUAACUGGACAGCUUUCUGGUUUUGCUACUUGGGUCUAAGUGGUUGCUUCUGAAUAUGACUCUAUGCACUGUGCCAUCCAUAAAGAAAGGCUUGCUAACAGAAAAAUGUCACCU